rnacentral:rRNA from 1 species
AGGUUAAGUGAAUAAGGGCGCACGGUGGAUGCCUUGGCACUAGGAGCCGAUGAAGGACGGGACUAACACCGAUAUGCUUUGGGGAGCUGUAAGUAAGCUAUGAUCCAGAGAUUUCCGAAUGGGGGAACCCAGCAUCUUUUAUAGGAUGUUACGUCUGCGCGAAUACAUAGCGCAGUCGAGGUAGACGCAGAGAACUGAAACAUCUAAGUACCUGCAGGAAGAGAAAGAAAAUUCGAUUCCCUGAGUAGCGGCGAGCGAAACGGGAAAAGCCCAAACCAACAAGCUUGCUUGUUGGGGUUGUAGGACUCCGAUAUGGUAGUCUAUUCAGAUAGUCGAAAUACUUGGAAAAGUAUGUCAAAGAGGGUAAAAACCCCGUAGGCGAAAUUUGGAUAACACCUAGGAGGAUCCUGAGUACGGCGGAACACGAGGAAUUCCGUCGGAAUCCGGGAGGACCAUCUCCCAAGGCUAAAUACUCCCUAGUGACCGAUAGUGAACCAGUACCGUGAGGGAAAGGUGAAAAGCACCCCGGAAGGGGAGUGAAAUAGAUCCUG